GGUUGCUGAUCUCUCUCCUGGCCUGAAGGAAGAGACUGACAUCCCCCAGGCUCCCGUUUCUGCCGCUUCCUGUUCUUCCCAUGUUCUACUGUCUCUGGCCCUGACUUGGGAGCUCCAGGCUGACCUACAACCUCAGGUGUCUGAUUGUUAUCUGCCUUGGCUUUCCCUUGUGUGACUCUGGCCAAACUUCUUGUCUUUCCUGAGGCAGCAGGAUUCUUCUUCAAACAAGGGCCAACCUGAGAAGCUCAGGAUGGAUACGUCGCCAGCAAAGGUAGAAGGUGGCAAGGAAGGGGCUGAUGCCUGAGUUGUCUGUCCCCUGGUGGUGGCCCUGGACACUCCUGCAGAUCCCUAGUUUUGAAAACCCACUUUCUUGAUUUUUUUUUCCAAAAUAUUCUUUUCCUCCG
ensembl:processed_transcript Gm13429 predicted gene 13429